rnacentral:miRNA from 1 species
GUGUGUGUAUAUAAGGCAGUGUGUUUGUGUAGUGUGCAUUAUAUAAACACACUACACAAACACACUGCGUUAUAUACACACACAC